rnacentral:lncRNA from 1 species
GGAAUCAGAGAAAGAAGGAGGACGCAUAAUCUGUAAAAUCCAUACUAAUCCACAACACAAGUAUAAUCACAUACAACUAUUCACAUAAUCACAUCAAUAUUCAACUAGAGCCAAUAAUAAUAUCUAGACAAAUACAUUUAUAGUAAUCACAUCUAAAUUUAAUAAUAUGGGAUAUUACAUUCUACCCCCCUUAUAAGGAUUCCGCCCUCGGAAUCCGCAAAGAGAACUCAAACGUAUCAUUUAGAAGAUCGUGGUACACGCUUCAUAAUAUCACAUGCUCAUCCGCCUUUGAUCAACUUUGGCAUACCUUUAAAGUUAAAGAAAUAGGAGAAUCAAAACUUUUACAAUUGCAACUUCAUUUCCAAGAAUCAAUCUUUGGGAAUUUCGGAAGAACAAGAUAUUUUCAAAAUAGGUCACAUUGGAAUACAAGAGUGAUUGGGAGAUCAAUACGAUCAAAUGAACUUAAUGUUGCGUGUCCACAGUAGACACUACUAAAGGUUGUUAACCUUCUUGUAAUCACAACACACACAAGUGAUGGCGUCCCAUCCAACUCCUAUCACACAGACAGGUAUACCUUGUGUCCCCUAUACAUAGGGUUGUUCAUCCCAAUCAGAUGGAAAGAAUCCAAGAAAUCUCAAGGAGCAUCAAAGAAUGUUAAGAAUUAUCGAGGAAUAUAUUAAGGAACAUCAAAAAGAUAUCAACGAAUAUCAAAGAAUGUCAAAGAAUAUCAACGAAUAUUAAGGGAUAUCAAAAAAUAUGAAAUAAUAUCAAGGGAUAUCAAAGAAUAUCAAAUAAUAUCAAGGAAUUCCACUGUCUCUUCAUAAACAUGCCUUUAUCACACAUCUUUGCUUUCCAACUCAUACCAAGAAUCAAUAUCAAUGUCAUCUUAGAAUUUGAGAAAUUAAAGAUCUCAUUUAUCAAAACUUUUGUAGAAAAGAUAUCAUGAUAAUAUCUCACUGAUGAGAAAACAAUCAAAAGAAUCUUUAUUGAAGAGAGGUAUUGCCAAGGUCUUCUCAAAUUCCCACUCUACUUUACGAAAUCGUUAUUCGAUUUAUGUCAUCCUUUCAACGUUCUCGAUAAUCAAUCGCUUUGACUCGUAAUAGGCUCGUAAGAUGUCAUCGUAGACGUUAUCGUUCGUAAUAACUCUCGCCCAUGUAGUCCACGUUCUCAUGCUUCAUCCAGUUGCCUUUGAAGUCCAUAACACAACACGUAACAUAUCUUCGAUUUUCUGAAUCGUCACCCUGUGGGUUAUGGGCCCACCUUGUCCCGCUUACUUAAAGCGUUGUCGUCGAGGACUAACGUUCUAACUUACUCGCAGACAUCAUCUCUAAUAACUUGACUCAAUUCCACGUACUCUCUAUCAUUCACUUCUCACCUAUCAACCUCUAUCUACCAAUCUCUCCUUCUAAUCCAAUACAACUCAUACUCUACACUUACUCUUCAUAUCUUCACUCAAAACAAUAUACAUCUUCCAAAUAUCUGACAUGGUCAACAUACUAUGAACCAUGCAUUUAU